ensembl:ncRNA F41H10.36 ncRNA
CUUGUAGUGAGAUACCAAAUGGUGGUCUGAUUUUUUUUGUUGGAAAAAAAGGUAAAAAGGCGGAGGCAAGUGAUUUUUCGAAGAAAAUUCGGAAAUUAUGGGGCGAUGAAAGAGGCGGUAGACGGGGGAAAGAGAGAGAGGGAGAGAGUGGAAGACAUUUGUUUAUAGGUUUUUUGAAGUGAAACGAUUCAGAACACACUCAAUGUACGGUCAAAGAAUUGUAAC